CGUAACCUGGAAACAGAACAAGGAACAUGGAUACAAGUGUGCCCUUCUUCAGCUGGUUCGCCAGAUGUAGAGGUGGCACCAAGUCGUAUAUAACAUUAAACGACUCUCGGCAACGGAUAUCUCGGCUCUCGCAUCGAUGAAGAACGUAGCGAAAUGCGAUACUUGGUGUGAAUUGCAGAAUCCCGUGAACCAUCGAGUCUUUGAACGCAAGUUGCGCCCGAAGCCUUUAGGUCGAGGGCACGCCUGCCUGGGCGUCACGCAUCGCGUCUCCCCCCACCCACCUUCAGUGGGAGGGGCGGAGGAUGAUGGCCUCCCAUGCCUCACCGGGUGUGGAUGGCCUAAAUACGGAGCCCCCGGUUAUGAAGUGCCGCGGCAUAGGUGAGAUACAAGGCCUAGCCUAGGAUACAUCGGAGUCGUGCACUUUUUAGCUUUUGAGGACUCGCAGGACCCUAAGUUUGUUUGCCCAUUGGGGCAUCAAAACCGUUGCGACCCCAGGUCAGGCGGGGCUACCCGCUGAG
rnacentral:rRNA from 1 species